AUUGUAGGUAGGACUCUGAAGGCAAAAUU
rnacentral:piRNA from 1 species